rfam:Oryza rufipogon genomic scaffold, chr06
UUUAAGGGCAAGUAUAAGUUUUCACGUCCAACUUUGAUCGUCUGUCUUAUUUAAUUUUUUUUUAUAAUUAGUAUUUUUAUUAUUAUGAAAAAAUAAAAUACGAAUAGUACUUUACUCGUGACUUGUGUUUUUAAAUGUUUUCAAAAAAAUUUUAAAUAAGAUGGAUGGUCAAAGUUAGACACGAAAAUCAUAGCUACACUUAAA